rnacentral:rRNA from 1 species
UUGAAAAAUUUUUGUAGUGAAAGAAGAUUUAAUUUAUUGUACCUUGUGUAUCAGGGUUUAUUAAAUAAUUAAUAGAAAUUUAUGAUCUCGAUUUUAUAAGAGUUAAUAAUUUAUUAAAGUUAAUGUGUCAAAAUUAUUUUAAAUAAAUUAUUAGAAAUGAGAUGUUAUUCGUUUAUAAAGGUAUCUAGUUUUUUUAGAAAUAAAUUUAAUUUACAAGUUUUUGAUUUUUUGGUUAUUUAAUUAAUUAAAAUAUUUAUUAACUUGAAUAUCUUAAGGGAUAAGCUUUAAGAUAAAUUAUUAAAAAUUAAUAGUGGUAGUAUAAAAUGUAUGCUUAGAAUUAGUAAUCAUUAUAAAGUUUGUUAUAAAUUAUUUUAUUAAUUAUAUUAUUUAUUAUAUUUUAAUUUAUUUAUAAAAAUUGUUUUAUUAAUAAUUUAUAAAGGGGAAUAAUGAUAGAAUUAGUAUAUGUUUUGUUUAGAUAAUUUUUUAUGUUAAGUUUAUAUAAAGAACUCGGCAAAUUUUUUACCCGCCUGUUUAACAAAAACAUGUCUUUUUGAGUUAUUUUUAAAGUCUGACCUGCCCACUGAAAUUAUUUAAAUGGCCGCAGUAUUUUAACUGUGCAAAGGUAGCAUAAUCAUUAGUCUUUUAAUUGAAGGCUGGUAUGAACGGUUGGACGAGGUAUAAGCUGUUUCAUAUAAAUUUAUAAUAGAAUUUUAUAUUUUAGUCAAAAAGCUAAAAUAUAUUUAAAAGACGAGAAGACCCUAUAAAUCUUUAUAUUUUGUGUUGUUUAAAUUUUUUGGAAUCGGUUUAUUUUUAUAAUAUAAAAUAUUUUGUUGGGGUGAUAUUAAAAUUUAAUUAACUUUUAAUUAUUUAAAAUCAUUAAUUUAUGAGUUAUUGAUCCAUUAAUAGUGAUUAUAAGAUUAAGUUACUUUAGGGAUAACAGCGUAAUUUUUUUGGAGAGUUCAUAUCGAUAAAAAAGUUUGCGACCUCGAUGUUGGAUUAAGAUAUAAUUUUAGGUGUA